UCUAAGCAGCAAUUGAGUGUAAAGGAGUUAGAAUCCUUAAAAGGUAGAGACCUUAAAA
rnacentral:tRNA from 1 species